GUGAAAUUGUAAUUCCGGUGAAGAUGCCGGAUACCUGCGACAGGACGGAAAGACCCCAUGGAGCUUUACUGUAGCUUGACAUUGGGUCUUGGUACUACAUGUACAGGAUAGGUGGGAGGCUUUGAAACCAGGACGCCAGUUUUGGCGGAGCCAUCCUUGGGAUACCACCCUUGUAGUACUGGGACUCUAACCAUAGGCCAUGAAUCUGGUCUUGGGACACUGUCAGGUGGGCAGUUUGACUGGGGCGGUCGCCUCCCAAAAGGUAACGGAGGCGCUCAAAGGUUCUCUCAGUACGGUCGGAAAUCGUACGUAGAGUGUAAAGGCAAAAGAGAGCUUGAUUGCAAGACAUACAGGUCGAGCAAGGAUGAAAAUCGGACUUAGUGAUCCGGUGGUUCUGCGUGGAAGGGCCAUCGCUCAACGGAUAAAAGCUACCCUGGGGAUAACAGGCUUAUCUCCCCCAAGAGUCCACAUCGACGGGGAGGUUUGGCACCUCGAUGUCGGCUCAUCACAUCCUGGGGCUGUAGUAGGUCCCAAGGGUUGGGCUGUUCGCCCAUUAAAGUGGUACGCGAGCUGGGUUCAGAACGUCGUGAGACAGUUCGGUCCCUAUCCGUCGCAGGCGUAGGAAAUUUGAGAAGACCUGUCCUUAGUACGAGAGGACCGGGAUGGACG
rnacentral:rRNA from 1 species